UUCCUAGCUGCUAUGGUUACGACAUGCAUGUACCUGUGAGUAGGCCUUUUAUUUUUACGUAUAUAUAUGUGGUUUUUCCAACAACUAUUUUUAUAUAUUAUGAUGUGACAUGCCAUGUUUAGCUUUACAAAUAGACUUUUCGUACACUUUAUGUUUUAAAUAUUAUUUGUGAGCAUAAACUUGUGGCAUGACAUCCUUACGUUUUAUUUACUCAUUAUUGCAUGUUUGCACGGUGUCUCUUUGUUAUUUGUACUGUCUUG
rnacentral:lncRNA from 1 species